GAUGAACGCUGGCGGCGUGCCUAAUACAUGCAAGUCGAGCGAACAGAUGAGGAGCUUGCUCCUCUGACGUUAGCGGCGGACGGGUGAGUAACACGUGGAUAACCUACCUAUAAGACUGGGAUAACUUCGGGAAACCGGAGCUAAUACCGGAUAAUAUAUUGAACCGCAUGGUUCAAUAGUGAAAGACGGUUUUGCUGUCACUUAUAGAUGGAUCCGCGCCGCAUUAGCUAGUUGGUAAGGUAACGGCUUACCAAGGCAACGAUGCGUAGCCGACCUGAGAGGGUGAUCGGCCACACUGGAACUGAGCCACGGUCCAGCCUCCUACGGGAGGCAGCAGCAGGGAAUCUUCCGCAAUGGGCGAAAGCCUGACGGAGCAACGCCGCGUGAGUGAUGAAGGUCUUCGGAUCGUAAAACUCUGUUAUUAGGGAAGAACAAAUGUGUAAGUAACUAUGCACGUCUUGACGGUACCUAAUCAGAAAGCCACGGCUAACUACGUG
rnacentral:rRNA from 1 species